AGCUCCAAUAGCGUAUAUUAAAGUUGUUGCGGUUAAAAGCUCGUAGUUGGAUUUCUGCUGAAGACGACCGGUCCACCCUCUGGGUGAGUAUCUGGCUUUGCCUUAGCAUUAUCUUGGAAAACGCAGCUGCACUUGACUGUGUGGUGUGGUAUCUGAAUCAUUUACUUUGAGGAAAACAGAGUGGUUCCAGCAGGCACAUGCCUUGAAUACAUUAGCAUGGCAUAAUAAGGUAAGG
rnacentral:rRNA from 1 species